UGAUACAGUGAUGAUACUACCUAGGCAGACAGACGGAUAGAAUGAUAGGAUUCAUGGAUCAUCCUCUUUCAGUUUCAGUAUCAAUAAUCUUGAUCAUUUCUAAAAUUUGUUGCAAAAUUUGGCACAAAUUCUCUUACACAUGCCAGGCCAGUGCAGGAAGUCACUGGGAGAAUUAACACACUACAAUGGGAGAAGUCAGAGGCAAUUCACACUCACCUGCUCACAGAUUUGUUUGUUUCCCCUUCUUGGUCUCUGAUGCCUGUAAACCACAUACCCCAACAGCAGGCACUGCAAAUUGAAAGGACCCACAUGUCUAAGACUAGCUUCAGACUCUAUCCCUCUUGUGUAACAUCAUCAGAAUUGCUAAACUAAACUCCAACCAGUCGUAUCUGUGCCAGAUCAAUGAAGACAGAGAAAGCUGAUUAUUUUGUACCUUGGAAAGCCCCCCAUCCCUUCUUCUGAGUGACUGACUGAACAGGGUGUGCAAAUUCAGAUUCCAAGAGCAGCUGCUGCAUUUGAAGGAUCUCUGGAGAAUGGUUAUUACAUGGGUUUGUCCCCUCCAAACCAUAGCUUCCUAUUUUAAGGACAACACUUAAGUUAGCCUGGAUCUUAUGUGUAUAUUACU